rnacentral:rRNA from 1 species
AACAGGAUUAGAUACCCUGGUAGUCCACGCCCUAAACGAUGUCAACUGGUUGUUGGGAGGGUUUCUUCUCAGUAACGUAGCUAACGCGUGAAGUUGACCGCCUGGGGAGUACGGCCGCAAGGUUGAAACUCAAAGGAAUUGACGGGGACCCGCACAAGCGGUGGAUGAUGUGGUUUAAUUCGAUGCAACGCGAAAAACCUUACCUACCCUUGACAUGCCAGGAAUCUUGCAGAGAUGUGAGAGUGCUCGAAAGAGAACCUGGACACAGGUGCUGCAUGGCCGUCGUCAGCUCGUGUCGUGAGAUGUUGGGUUAAGUCCCGCAACGAGCGCAACCCUUGUCAUUAGUUGCUACGAAAGGGCACUCUAAUGAGACUGCCGGUGACAAACCGGAGGAAGGUGGGGAUGACGUCAGGUCAUCAUGGCCCUUAUGGGUAGGGCUACACACGUCAUACAAUGGCCGGGACAGAGGGCUGCCAACCCGCGAGGGGGAGCUAAUCCCAGAAACCCGGUCGUAGUCCGGAUCGCAGUCUGCAACUCGACUGCGUGAAGUCGGAAUCGCUAGUAAUCGCGGAUCAGCUUGCCGCGGUGAAUACGUUCCCGGGUCUUGUACACACCGCACGUCACACCAUGGGAGCGGGUUCUGCCAGAAGUAGUUAGCCUAACCGCAAGGAGGGCGAUUACCACGGCAGGGUUCGUGACUGGGGUGAAGUCGUAACAAGGUAACC